UCCUCCUUAGCUCAGCUGGUUAGAGCACUUGACUGUUAAUCAGGGGGUCGUUGGUUCGAGUCCAACAGGGGGAGCAA
rnacentral:tRNA from 1 species